rnacentral:rRNA from 1 species
CCUACGGGUGGCUGCAGUCGAGAAUCUUCCGCAAUGCACGAAAGUGUGACGGAGCGACGCCGCGUGAUUGAUGAAGUACUUCGGUACGUAAAGAUCUUUUAUAAGGGAGGAAGUUAUUGACGUUACCUUAUGAAUAAGGGGCUCCCAAUCUCGUGCCAGCAGGAGCGGUAAUACGAGAGCCCCGAGCGUUAUCCGGAAUUAUUGGGCGUAAAGGGUGAGUAGGUGGCAUUAUUAGUCGUGAGUGAAAGACCAGUGCUUAACAUUGGGAACGCUUGCGAAACGGUAUUGCUCGAGUAUGUGAGAGGUGUGCGGAACUCAUGGUGUAGGGGUGAAAUCCGUUGAUAUCAUGGGGAACACCAAAGGCGAAGGCAGCACACUGGCACAUCACUGACACUGAAUCACGAAACCCUGGGUAGCGAAUGGGAUUAGAUACCCCAGUAGUC